rnacentral:lncRNA from 1 species
GCAUCAGCAUCAGACAGCUGCUGUGAGGUGCCACUGCCAGCAGAGGGCAGCGGUGUCCAGAGGGGAGAGACGUACACACUACGACAAAUCCACCCAGACCCCCUGGAGAGGCCCUGCGGUCAGUCAAUUACUUCCUGUCUCAUUGCCUCCCC